GAUGAACGCUAGCGGCAGGCCUAAUACAUGCAAGUCGGACGGGAUUGAGAAGCUUGCUUUUCAUGAGAGUGGCGCACGGGUGCGUAACACGUAUGUAACCUACCUUAUCCAGGGGGAUAGCCUCUCGAAAGAGAGAUUAACACCGCAUAACAUUAUUGAACAGCAUUGUUUAAUAAUCAAAUAUUUAUAGGGAUAAGAUGGGCAUGCGGACAUUAGCAGUUGGCGGGUAACGCCACAAGGCGACGAUGUCUAGGGGAUCUGAGAGGAUCGACCCCCACACU
rnacentral:rRNA from 1 species